rnacentral:rRNA from 1 species
UACGGAGGGAGCUAGCGUUGUUCGGAAUUACUGGGCGUAAAGCGCACGUAGGCGGCUUUGUAAGUUAGAGGUGAAAGCCCGGGGCUCAACUCCGGAACUGCCUUUGAUACUGGCGAGCUUGAGUUCGGGAGAGGUGAGUGGAACUGCGAGUGUAGAGGUGAAAUUCGUAGAUAUUCGCAAGAACACCAGUGGCGAAGGCGGCUCACUGGCCCGAUACUGACGCUGAGGUGCGAAAGCGUGGGGAGCAAACGGG